rnacentral:tRNA from 1 species
GGAUCACCCUCGACGGGCAGGCCGCGCCGCUGGUCGGGCGGAUCAUGCUCGACCUGGUGAAGGACUGGCGGUUCGAGGCCGCCGGGGGUCUG